AACGAACGCUGGCGGCGUGCCUAAUACAUGCAAGUCGAGCGGACAGAAGGGAGCUUGCUCCCGGAAGUUAGCGGCGGACGGGUGAGUAACACGUGGGCAACCUACCCUGUAGAUCGGGAUAACAUCGAGAAAUCGGUGCUAAUACCGGAUAAUCAUUUGAAGUGCAUGCGUCGAAUGUAAAAGAUGGCUCCGGCUAUCACUACGGGAUGGGCCCGCGGCGCAUUAGCUAGUUGGUAAGGUAAUGGCUUACCAAGGCAACGAUGCGUAGCCGACCUGGGAGGGUGAUCGGCCACACUGGGACUGAGACACGGCCCAGACUCCUACGGGAGGCAGCAGUAGGGAAUCUUCCGCAAUGGACGAAAGUCUGACGGAGCAACGCCGCGUGAGUGAUGAAGGUUUUCGGAUCGUAAAGCUCUGUUGUUAGGGAAGAACAAGUGCCGUUUGAAUAAGGCGGCACCUUGACGGUACCUAACCAGAAAGCCACGGCUAACUACGUGCCAGCCGCCGCGGUAAUAC
rnacentral:rRNA from 1 species